rnacentral:lncRNA from 1 species
GGUGCUGUGCUUUCUGUCCUGCCGCUGGAUGCUAUGAAGUGCGCUCAGGCAAGCUCCGAAGUUGCGACAUGGAUUGUCCAGAAAUAGGGUUCCAACCCAUAACAAAGGAAACAACCCUGAUUUACAACCAGCCACCAGGCCCAUCCCCAUGUCAAAGAGCAGGCCUCUAACAAAGUGCUCAAUGGGGCAUUGCAGGAUCACAAUCAACAGUAAGGCCUGGUGUGCCAUAAAGGUUCCGUUUUCUUCUUGUGAAAAGCAUAGUUCUGCCACAUGGGCAAGAUGACACCUGGUGACAACCAUUUGAAAAGGAUGCGGUGACUUAUGAUGAUGUGAAUGUGAACUUCACUCAAGAAGAGUGGGCUAUGCUGGAUCCUUUACAGAAGAGUCUCUACAAAGAUGUGAUGCUGGAGACCUAUAAGAACCUCACUGCUAUAGCUGCAACUGGAAAGACCAUAAUAUUGAAGAACAUUUUCAAAGUUU